UCUCGACUUCUCGAGGCAACAUUAUUAGAAGCAAAUUCACUAGUACAGAAUCUGUAAAGGUGGUUGAAUUUGUAAUUUGACCUUAUUCUUAAUUGCAUUUGUUUGCAUUACUAUCAACAAACAAGUACAGGUGGUAUUUUGUGAACCGUGUAGUACGGCACUCCACUCAAUUAUCCCUUUACCGAUGCGCGUGACCCACUGACAAAACAAGCGAAGCGAUCGCCGCAUCACAUUGUUUUCCCAUAGCCCGAACGAUUCCAUUCAGAAUCUCAUUACACUUGAAAGGGGUUACAACAAAUCUGGCGCAACGUUUUCUCAUGGACGUGUCUGUCGUUAGGGCAGCGUGAGGUGACCAUUACUGCGUACAAAGAGUUGCCUAAAAUAGAGAGCUUUUGUAAGGCGGGAAGACAGGCGAGGGACGAGGUGGGGGCGGGGCGGUCGCCGGCUGCCCGGCGGCUCAGUCGCGCCGCGCCUCACAGCCGCCUCGCACGCCGCAUCACGGAGCGUGCCUCUCGGACAGCGCACGCGCACGCGAUACCUCCCCCGCCGCGCCCCCCACACUACACGUGCACAAAAUACCAGUGGAAGUCUAUAGAUGGUAUCGACCCCACAUUGAAUAGUUUCACAAUGCAAGAACAAAGUUCGUCGAGAUCCAGCAAGUCCACGUUAAACUCUUUGGAAAGCGCCAUCAUCAAGCUGAAGAACAAUUUGCAGAUACAGGACACCAAAACAACAGACAUGAACGGUUUGUUGGCAGCUGACCCACCGUCGCCUCAUGCGGACACAAAAACAAACGCAAGUAAGAGCCCUAGUUCUUCUCCAUCCACAAAUAUUAACUUAUCAAUUGCAUCAGCGGCCUUAUUACAAGAAAACAUGCUUCAAAGAUCACUACAAGGAGUAGUUAUAUCUCUCCAAAAUGCAAUGAUGAACUCAUUACAACAAGCAGCAUUGUUACCAUCAAACUCUGCUGCGGCAGCCGCAUUAAAUUUACAAGCUUUGGAAUCUUAUUUGACCCUGCAACGUUUGACAUCAGUAUCGUCGGUAAACAACACAACUCAACCUAACACACCGGAGAAUAGUUCAUCAUCUAAACAAGAUAUUUUAAGGAUAGCGACGGCAAGUGCAAAGAUAAGUGAAAUAGAUGCAUCAGAAACAUCAAAGGAAUUUUCUCCAAAAACACCUGAAGAAUACCCACUCUCUGACGCCAUAGCUGCAGAGGAUGUCGAUUUAUCUGAAGAAGUAGAAGAAGAUUUGGCCCUCUUAGAUAAUGAAGAUGAAUUCACUUUAGAGCAACACUUAGAAUCAACAUCAAAAGGAUAUGCGUAUAGUUCAUCACAGAAUCUAGAUAAUGGCUACCCCAGUCUUCUUAUGAAUGCAAUGUAUCAACAGCAAAUGAAUGGAAGUCCAUCACAGGCGCCGUUGUCACCGCAAGCCUCGAACUCUUCAAAGUCAACAAACAGCUCAACAUCAUCGACGGGCAGUAGUGUAUCAAAUAAACAGAAGACUGGAGCAAGUGGGCCUAGAACGAAGAAACAAUUUAUUUGCAAAUUUUGUAACCGACAGUUCACCAAGUCAUAUAACUUACUCAUUCAUGAAAGGACGCACACAGAUGAACGACCAUAUUCCUGUGACAUUUGCGGGAAAGCUUUCCGACGGCAAGACCACCUGAGAGACCACAGGUACAUCCAUUCGAAGGAAAAGCCAUUCAAAUGUCUGGAAUGUGGCAAGGGCUUCUGUCAGUCAAGAACGCUAGCUGUCCACAAAAUCCUUCACAUGGAGGAGUCACCCCAUAAGUGUCCUGUCUGCAGCCGAAGUUUCAAUCAAAGGUCGAAUCUGAAGACCCAUUUACUCACACACACAGACAUCAAGCCAUACAACUGUUCGUCAUGUGGGAAAGUUUUUAGAAGAAAUUGUGACUUGAGACGUCACAGUCUGACACACAACCUCGUUGGAAUUUCCUCAGUCAACACAUCUCCCAGUGGAAGUAAUGGAAAGAGUCCUUUGCUUAAUCCCAACUUCCCAAUUGACAGUUUAGAUACAGAAGACGAGAAUUAGUUGUUUUGUUUUUAGUGGCAAAUGUGAAAAGACUGAUAUUUUUACUCCUAAAACGGUGCCUUCUAGUAUUAAGACUUAGUUUACUGAUGCCACAAAAGCCUUAUUUAUUAGUUAAGAAAAGAAAAUUAAUUUGGUUGCCUAAUGGAUGUUGCCUUUAGUGUUAAAUUAAUUACAUAUUUAUGAUCUAAAUUCCAUGUUAAUUGUAUUUUCUUUUCUUUUAUUAUUCAUUUAGGGAGUGUUAAAUAGAUUCUAUCUUUGUGUUUGGCAGUGGCAAUUUCGUGUAGAAAUAUAUUCUUGGAAUAUCCUUAGGACGUUUGGGUUUUAGUAUUAUUUAGUUGUAUUUGAUUCUUUAAAUCCUGUAAAUUUUCUGAUCUCAUUUUGUGUCUGUAAAUAUAAAUUAUAGCUAAGUCAAUUUGUGCAUUCCGUCCACCUUACUGUUUAUGUAAAAAUGUUUAAUGUUUAUAAGGGUUGUGUAAAAUACAAGGUGUUGAUUUGCAUUUGUGCCAUACUUCAGGAGGAGGACAUAAAAUACGUAAAUAAUCGAUUGG
rnacentral:misc_RNA from 1 species